rnacentral:guide_RNA from 1 species
GACGGAUAACGACAUAACAAAGAAAAAUAUUCUGAGAAACAUAGUAGA